UACAGAGGGGGCAAGCGUUAUUCGGAAUUAUUGGGCGUAAAGGGCGCGUAGGCGGCUUUGCAAGUGACGGGUGAAAUCCCUCGGCUUAACUGAGGAACUGCACGGGAAACUGCCUGGCUUGAGUUCGGGAGAGGGAAGCGGAAUUCCGGGUGUAGCGGUGAAAUGCGUAGAUAUCCGGAGGAACACCGGUGGCGAAGGCGGCAUCCUGGACCAAUUCUGACGCUGAGGAGCGAAAGCCAGGGGAGCAAACGGG
rnacentral:rRNA from 1 species